rnacentral:rRNA from 1 species
CGGAGGGUGCAAGCGUUAUCCGGAUUCACUGGGUUUAAAGGGUGCGUAGGUGGAUUGGUAAGUCCGUGGUGAAAUCCCCGAGCUUAACUCGGGAACUGCCGUGGAUACUAUCAAUCUUGAAUACUGUGGAGGUAAGCGGAAUAUGUCAUGUAGCGGUGAAAUGCUUAGAUAUGACAUAGAACACCGAUAGCGAAGGCAGCUUGCUACACAGUCAUUGACACUGAGGCACGAAAGCGUGGGGAGCAAACAGGAUUAGAUACCCUGGCAGUCCACGCCCUAAACGAUGAUUACUCGACAUACGCGAUACACUGUGUGUGUCUGAGCGAAAGCAUUAAGUAAUCCACCUGGGAAGUACGACCGCAAGGUUG